GAUGAACGCUGGCGGCGUGCCUAAUACAUGCAAGUCGAACGCAUAGCGAAAGGUGCUUGCACCUUUCAAGUGAGUGGCGAACGGGUGAGUAACACGUGGACAACCUGCCUCAAGGCUGGGGAUAACAUUUGGAAACAGAUGCUAAUACCGAAUAAAACUUAGUGUCGCAUGACACAAAGUUAAAAGGCGCUUCGGCGUCACCUAGAGAUGGAUCCGCGGUGCAUUAGUUAGUUGGUGGGGUAAAGGCCUACCAAGACAAUGAUGCAUAGUCGAGUUGAGAGACUGAUCGGCCACAUUGGGACUGAGACACGGCCCAAACUCCUACGGGAGGCUGCAGUAGGGAAUCUUCCACAAUGGGCGAAAGCCUGAUGGAGCAACGCCGCGUGUGUGAUGAAGGCUUUCGGGUCGUAAAGCACUGUUGUAUGGGAAGAACAGCUAGAAUAGGAAAUGAUUUUAGUUUGACGGUACCAUACCAGAAAGGGACGGCUAAAUACGUG
rnacentral:rRNA from 1 species